UACGGGGGGGGCAAGCGUUGUUCGGAAUUACUGGGCGUAAAGGGCUCGUAGGCGGCCAACUAAGUCGGAUGUGAAAUCCCCCGGCUUAACCUGGGAACUGCAUCCGAUACUGGAUGGCUUGAAUCCGGGAGAGGGAUGCAGAAUUCCAGGUGUAGCGGUGAAAUGCGUAGAUAUCUGGAGGAAUACCGGUGGCGAAGGCGGCAUCCUGGACCGGCAUUGACGCUGAGUGAGCGAAAGCCAGGGGAGCAAACGGG
rnacentral:rRNA from 1 species